UACGGAGGGGGCUAGCGUUGUUCGGAAUUACUGGGCGUAAAGCGCGCGUAGGCGGAGAUCCAAGUCGGGGGUGAAAUCCCGGGGCUCAACCCCGGAACUGCCUCCGAUACUGGUUCUCUGGAGGACGGGAGAGGCGAGUGGAAUGCCGAGUUUAGAGGUGAAAUUCGUAGAUAUUCGGCGGAACACCCGUGGCGACGGCGGCUCGCUGGUCCGUUUCUGACGCUGAGGCGCGAAAGCGUGGGGAGCAAACAGG
rnacentral:rRNA from 1 species